rnacentral:rRNA from 1 species
UACGUAGGGUGCACGCGUUAAUCGGAAUUACUGGGCGUAAAGGGCGCGUAGGCGGCCUGUUAAGUCGAACGUGAAAUCCCCGGGCUCAACCCGGGAACUGCGUCCGAUACUGGCAGGCUUGAAUUCGGGAGAGGGAUGCGGAAUUCCAGGUGUAGCGGUGAAAUGCGUAGAUAUCUGGAGGAACACCGGUGGCGAAGGCGGCAUCCUGGACCGAGAUUGACGCUGAGGCGCGAAAGCCAGGGGAGCAAACGGG